AUGCUCAAAUUUAUUUUAAUGAGGAAUAAGAUACAUUAAAAGGUCCUAAAGAUGAGAAAGUAUUCACUAGAGUCAUUUUAUAAACAUUAGAGAAGCAUGUGAAAAUAAUUUGAAGUCAGUGGUUCUCAAAGUGAGUUUCUGUCCUUCAGAUCCUUCAGGUCAUUACAGAGGGCUUCUGAGACUGUUCGUAACGUGAGUAGCUCCAUGUUGUAUUCUAGCACAAAAUACACUUAGGAAUCUCAGCCUUGCUACCAUUCAACAAUAACAGUAUAAGGACUUUUGCUUGGCUAAAGUGUCUAAAAAUAAAAUGAGAACUGCAUCCUUAGGUUUACUUCAUUUAUCAGGGGUGGGGAGAUGGAAAUCUACGUUACACUUCCCUCUUAAACUUUGUCUGGUUCGCACAAGUGAAAAUGUGAGAAGUUAGACAAAAGAAUCUUCUACACUCACUUAAUUUUGGUGGCUAAGAAUAUAGACUCUGGAUUCAAAGGCCUGAGUGUCUGUGAGAUGAUUCCAUUACUUAAGAGCCAGGUAGUUGUGGGCAAAUUUACUUUAUGCCUCAGUUUCCUCAUUUACAAAAUGGAGGCAAUAUUAGUGCCUACCUCACAGGGCUACUAUGAAGGUUAAAUGAAAGAAUCUAGGAAAACAGCUCGGCUCAGUUCUUGGCAAGUGGUGAGUACUAGAUAAUGUAAACUGUUAUUAUCCCCAAUUUACAGGCUCUGCCCUAGACAUGUCAUUCCAUUUCUGCCCAGAGGAUUAUCCAGAGUACAAACUAGUGUCCAAAGAAUGAGAAAACAUUCAAAGACUAUGUUGGAAGCAGAGGUCAACAUUCUGGGCACUUUAAAAAGGCUCUGGGAGGAAUCUGGGAAGAAUUCUGCAAGCAUGAGAGUGUGGCCACAGGAACAAUUUGCUGGGGCAGGCCUACACAUGGAAUAACUUGAUGCCAAUCUGGUUUUGUGCAUAUUGCAGGAAAUAGAAUUUACUCUGUUUUCUAAAGGCAAAGUAAUGUGCAAUUAGUAACUAAUACAUAUAGAUAGAUAGCUACCCUGAAUUUCCUUGGACAGAAUUCUUCCCCACAUACCCCAUUCCCAAAGUCACAGUAAAAGCAAAAGUCUUCACAAGAUCUCUACAACCUGUUCUCUUCUUCUGCUGUACUCUCCCUCUCUGUUCACAAUGGCCUCCUGGCCAUUCCUGGCAUGCCCUGGGCUCAGAGCCCUUGUACUUCUUCCCUUUGCCUGGGUGAGAAACAGCUGGCUCCAUCACCUUUCUUGGUAUUCUUCCCCGAUCCUGUUUAAAAUGGCGCACUUACCCACUCCUCCAGUCUAUCUCUCUUCCUUGCUCUCUGUUUCUCCUUGGCACCAUCACCUUCUAAUAUAUAAUUUAUUGAUUUGGUUCACUGUUUCUCCAUAAGGGCAGGAAUUAGUGUUUUGUUCAUUCCUGUAUCCCGGGUGCCUAGAACAGAGGCUGAUACCUAGUAGUGCUCACUGUGGAAGGGCUGUCAGUGAAUACUCAUUGGUUCAACAGGCCAGUCCUUACCUCCAGUUAAGGUAUUUCUAGCACAGUCCUCUCUGAGAGCUUGAUUCAGGAGAAACAUUUCACACAAUUCUUUCAACAUGAGAGAUAAUUAUCUGUUUUUUUCAGGAAUCUUUGCAUGACACUGCUAUACCUUUUACCAUUGACAAUAUUUUGACAUAAGUCUUAUUUUUCCCUAACAGGGAUUUUAGUUUACUGAUGGGUCCGAGGAUUAUCUUUUCUUCCUACUUUUCUAGUUUCUUUAAUAAGCAAGCAUAUAUUGCUUUAAGAAAUAAUUAACGAUUUUUUUGUGCUUUCUAUUAAGUCUGCAAAACUCUUUCAUAUGGCAGAGAAACAUUUUUAAAAUCCCAUGUUCAAGUUCAUA
ensembl:lncRNA